rnacentral:rRNA from 1 species
GACGAACGCUGGCGGCGUGCUUAACACAUGCAAGUCGAACGGAAAGGCCCUGCUUUUGCGGGGUGCUAGAGUGGCGAACGGGAGAGUAACAAGUGAGUAACAUGACCUUGACAUUGGGAUAACUUCAGGAAAAUGGGGCUAAUACCGGACAGGAGAUACCGCUGCAUGGUGGGGGUUGGAAAGUUUCGGCGGUUGGGGAUGGACCCGCGGCUUAUCAGCUUGGUGGUGUGGAAGUGGCUUACCAAGGCUUUGACGGGUAGCCGGCCUGAGAGGGUGACCGGCCACAUUGCGACUGAGAUACGGCCCAGACUCCUACGGGAGGCAGCAGUGGGGAAUAUUGCACAAUGGGCGGAAGCCUGAUGCAGCAACGCCGCGUGCGGGAUGACGGCCUUCUUGUUGUAAACCGCUUUCGCCUGUGACGAAGCGUGAGUGACGGUAAUGUGUAAAGAAGCACCGGCUAACUACGUG